CUAGGCCACUUGGAGUUCUUUGUAGGAAAAAAGGCCAGACACAAAUCCAAUGAACAAAUAGAUUAGGAGCCCCCGGCCCAACACACCGUUUGCUCCCCUGCAGAGGGACAGGCUCCCUGGGCAGAAGCACCUCCACCCAUUCGGCAAGGACUGGCUUCAGAUGCCACAACCCACACGCAAGGGCUGAAGGUGGCUUGUUGCUUACCCACGGGUUUUCGCCACAACACGCGUUGUCAUGUUGUCUGAAUUCUGCUGAGAUAACAAACCCUGGGGAGCAACCAUUCAGAAUCCCACAGCCAACCAUGGGUUGUCAUCAUGGGUUGUUCAUGGUUAACCAACUGUGGCUUGUUAGCACAGCUGGGUUCAGACAACAAGAUAAUCCACCUUUCAACGACCUCAACCCACCCUCCACGAUACUCGGCCCUUGAGUGUAAGUGAUUCUCCCUUGAGCCCAGUUACGCCAUUUUGCGUUUGUUCGAGGGAGCGUCGUCCUGGUGUCCGUGGCCUCCAGGCACAUCUCCAAAAUCCAACCCCGUCCGAUCGAUCUUUACCCCGGGAUCGCAGCGAGACACCCAGCAGCUGCCUGCCACUCUGCCUGGCUCAGCGCAGUCCCGUCUGUGGGGCACCUUGAGUGGAAAUGCAAGGAUUAUCCACGGCCAACCCUGAUGUUCUCUCUGUGGGUCCUCCUAGAUCGCCGGAGGAGAUACCAGAGGAGCAUCCAGGAGAUGUUCGGGAGUGCUGCCAAACAGGCCUCUGCCCCGGCCGCAGCGGUGAGUCUCCACCACAGGUGCGCCGAGUUGCUUCUCGGCAGGACACCACACCCUCAGGAAGGCAGCCAUGCGCUCCUGUCUGUGCUCAGGACGCACCAGAAGGCAGCAGCUCGUCCGGAGCACUUCCUGGAAGUAGGCGUGGAGAAUCUGUUUGGUCCAGAUGCAGAGCGGAAGAGCUCCAGAACCGUCGUGCUGCUCGGGGCCCCUGGAGUGGGGAAGACAACCGCCGUGAGGAAGCUGAUGCUGGACUGGGCAGCUGGGAAGUUCGGGCAAAGGGAGUUUCAGUAUGCUUUUUACCUCUCCUGCCGAGCGGUGAACUGCAGUAGCGAGCCCAUGAGCGUGGCUGACCUGGUUCUCGGCGGCUGUCCUCCAGGGACUCUCCUAACGGAGGAGGACGUCUUUUCGGACCAAGAGAGCAUCCUCUUCGUUGUGGAUGGCUUUGAGGAACUGGAGUGCUGGGAUCUUCGGAGGGAUGUGCCAAGCAGUGACCUGCAGCGAAAACAGGCCGCAGCAGACCUGGUGAUGGGCCUGAUUCGAAGAAAGCUGCUAGCCAGGUGCCAUCUCAUUGUGACUAUGAGGCCCAUGGCUCUGAAGGCACUCCUGCCAAGCCUGCGAUCCCCACAGUUUGUGGAGGUGCUGGGACUGUGCCCAGCUGAGAGGAGGAAGUAUUUCCACCACUUCUUUGAAAACGAAGAAGAAGCCACUCGCGCUUUUGAACUUGCAAGAAGCAAUGAGACACUUUUCAGCAUGUGCUUCCUUCCUGCUGUGUGCUGGAUCAUCUGCACCAUUGUCAGGCAGAAACUUCCAAGCGGCCCCCUUAACGAUAUCCCAGAGACUGCAACCAUCACCGAAAUCUACAUGCGGCUCCUCUUGAGCUUCUUGGGGUGUCACUCGCGGCCGAGUGACCUGGAAGGAUUGUGCUCCUUAGCCAAGGACGGGACGCUCUGUAAGAUGACGGCCUUCAGCAAAGACAUGCUGAUUAGCCACGGUUUGGGCUCGUCGGGCUCAGGACCCCUUUCUUCAGGCCGGAAGCUUCUCCAUCAAGACGAGCACAACGCCACCCUGUUCAAGUUCAUCCACGUAAGUUUCCAGGAGUUCUUUGCAGCCUUGUUCUAUCUUCUGGACACAGACGGGGACCCGGCAAGAUCUUUCAGCGACUUGGAGGAGGUGCUUGCAGAUAAGAAGGAAUGUGGCAGCCCCUCCUCCAUGCUCGUGCGCUUCCUCUUCGGCCUCUGCAGCACGGAGAGGCUGGGCGUCCUGCAAGACGCGUGGGGCCACAAGGCGUCCCGGACACGCCUCUGGCAAGUGCUGCUGAGCUGGGUGAGCGGAGAAGCCGAGUGCCACUCCUUCAGGGACAGGGGGCGACUGCUGGAAUUGUGCCACUGCAUCUACGAGAUGGAAGACCCCACGUUCGCUGAGAGCACGAUGGCCCACGUCCGCGACCUGGACCUCCGGGAGCAGCUAGUGACCAAGCUGGAUUUUGCUGCGCUCUCGUAUUGUCUCUCGUCUUCCGGGGCGCUCCAGGCACUCCGCCUCUCCGGCUAUGAGCUGGGGCCCGCAGGAGCUGCCCAACUGCUUCCCGGGCUGCUGAAGUCUUUGGAGAUCCAGCUGAACAGCUGCGGCCUCGUGGCGGCCAUGUGCAAAGACCUCGCUGCCGUGGUGAGCAGGCCAACUCUGACCCGCCUGGACCUGGGUGACAAUCCACUGGGAGACGGUGGCAUCACACACCUGUCUGCUGGACUUCUGGAUCCACACUGCAAGCUGCAGACUCUCCGGCUGCACCGCUGCAAUCUCACCGCCCUCGCCUGCGAGCCCCUGUCGCUGGUCCUGGCGGCUAACCCGGCCCUCACCGACCUGGAUCUGCAAGGGAACCACCUGGGCGACGAGGGAGUCGAGACGCUGUCGGAAGGGCUGAGGCACCCCGGGUCGCGGCUGCAAAGGCUCACGCUGCACCUCUGUGGCCUCACGGAGUCAUCCUGCAAAGCCCUCUCCUCUGUCCUGAAAGCCCACGAGUUCCUGACGGAGCUGGGCCUGGGGGACAACAGCCUCGGGGACACAGGUGUUCGGCAUCUCUGCACCGCGCUGAAGUUCUGCAAGCUUCAGAAACUGGAGUACGUGUCCAUCCCCUCCGCGUCAUCCAUAAUUCAGAAUAAUCAUAUGCUUUGCUCUGAUUAGAAUCCCACAUUUAUCAAGAAAAAUGGCACUCUUUUCUGCAGAUGAAAAGGGUGUUAUGGGUCAUAGCAGCUCCUGGAGUUGUGUAGGAAAGCGGGGGACACCCAGGAAGGCGGCGUGUCCGUCCGUCCGUCCGCGCGUGUCUGUCUGUCCCGCAGCUGAACCUGCUGCAGCUUCCAUAACCUUUUGGAAAGUAGCCCGUGCAGAGUGCAUUGCAGUGGUCCAAACAGAAGGUAGCCAAGGCACGGAUGCGCCUGGCCAGACUGGGCAUCUCUCGGAACGGGGCUGCUAGAAUGCCCCACCUCAAGGUUCAGGGCCCAGUCGCCUGAGCUCGGGCCUCCAGCGAACGUGCCAGCCCGCUUCUCGCAGGCCGACUCUCCGUUCCCCAGGAGGAAUCUCCCACCGUCUUCAGAGGAACCAUUGCCCCGUCGCUGAGGCUCUUGCGCAGCUCUUGGGUUUUGCUCGCACGAGGGACCGUUGCAUUUUCCUUGGUCUGUCGCUGGAGAGGGAGGGAAGGCAACAGAAAGGUCCCUCCGCAGCAAGCAAGACCUCAUCAGCAUCCCUCACGUCCUCCCUGAGCUGAGAAGCCCCCAGACCCUUUCAGUCUUUCCUCAUAGUAAAGGAGGUCCAGCCCCCUCGUUAGCCCCUUUGCCCGCCCGCCCUGAGCCUCCUCAGGACUUCCUUCUGAGUCGUGUGCAAGGAUCCGGCUGGAGAGGCCUCCUUGCACACCUGAGAGAAACCUCUGCCCGUUGGCCUGCGCAGAUUCGGUUCCCAGAUCAGUGGGGGUCUGCAAGGGAGCUCUGUCGGAGAGGGGUCAUCCCUAGACUGCGUUCUGCCGAGAUUCCGGAUGGUGAAACCUGUGGAGGCCCCAAGGAGCAAGUCUGGUCUCUGCAGUGGCUGCCCUCUGUGCCGAGGCUUUGCAGUCGGCCAUGACCCAGGCAGCCGCAGGUCGGCAGCUGGGCACCUUUUGCUGAAAAGGUGGGGGCUGCUACAGAGAAGGCCCUCCCCCAGCCAUCUCCCCCCUCACUUUGUUAGUGGGUGGGACUUGGAGAAGGGCCUCCGCCGAAGACCUUCACGAUUGGGCAGGGCACGUGGAGACAGGUGUUCCCUCGGAUCUGCUGGCCUCCAGCCAUUUAGGGCUUUGCAUAUUAGAGUCUGCACUUUGCACUGGGCCCAGACAGCAACCGGUUGCUGGUGCAGCCUGCCAAGGACGGGUGCGACGUGUUCGCGAAGGCUGGGGCUCGGCAGUAGCCACGUGGCUGCUCUGAACGAGUGGCAGUGCCCGGACCCAGGGAGAGCGCGCUGCGGCAGUGCAGGUGUGAGGUUACCGGUGCGUGGGCAACUGUCGCAAGGCCUCGCUCUUCCAGGUGGGGACGCAGCCGAAAAACCGGCCUGAGCCGAUGGAAAGCACGCCUGGCCGCUGAGUCCGCCUGAGAAACAAGCAGCAGCUCGGGAUCCAGGAGCCCUUGCAGGCUGCAAACCGUGCCCUUUAGGUUUGGGGAGUGUGGCCCCAUCCGAAACAGGCUGAAAGUUCCCCAGCUGGAAGGACGGAUGGACGGACGACCUGCUAAUAGCGCCUCUGCCUUGUUUGGACUGAGCUUCAGCUCGUUGGCUCACAUCCAGUCCAUUACCAAGCUGACAGAGGCUAAGGACAGUAACUGCUCCACCCGGACCGGAUGGAAACGAGAGGUAGAGCUGAGGGUCAUCGGCACAUGGAAGGCGCUUCAGCCCAAACCUCCAGAUGCCUCUCCCAGUGGUUUUGUGUAGAUGUUGCAGAGCAUGGGGGACAGAACGGGGCCUGGCAGAAGUCCAUGGCACAAAGGCCACAGCGCAGAGUAGUGGUCCCCCAGCACUACCUUCUGGAGACGAUCCGCCGGUAGGAGCGGAAUCACCACAAAGCGGUCCCCGCCACUCCCAGCCCAGCCAUCCUCUCCAGAACUAUGGUCAAUGGUAUCGAAAGCUGCCGAGAGGUCCAGGAGAUCCAACAGGGUCACAUUCCCCCGGUCUCUCCACUGGCAAAGGUAAUCUCCCAGGGGAGCAAGACCGCUUCCUUUCCAAAACCAGGCCUGACGCUGACUGAAACGGAUCCAGAUAAUGCCUGGAGCUGCCCAGCCACAACCUACCUGCUCGAUCACCUUGCCCAGGAAGGGAAUAUUGGCCGUAGGCCUAUCCUGGUUUACCUCGGCUGAGUCCAGGUUGGUUUUUCCAGGAGUGGAGCAAUCACAACUGCCUUUGCCUCUCUUCAAGAGGGGUUGGCAGCCUCCUGAACCCAAGCACGAGUUCCCUCCUUAGACGUCACAGUCAGCAAGGGUCGAGCGAGCAGGUCGUGGGCUGGACCAAACCAAGCCCCUUGUCCACAUCCUCGGGCCGCAUAGCCGAACAGUACUUGAAAAAAGCAAGCAGGUCUCCUCUUGCCUUCUCUUCAAGGGUAAAUAUGUCCGGGAGUAAUUAUCAGCAGAGCUCAGGCUUUCUACAGGAUCCCUGAAUCAAAAUACAAGGCGCAAAC